rnacentral:misc_RNA from 1 species
GAUGAAGAACGCAGCAAAAUGCGAUAAGUAGUGUGAAUUGCAGAAUUCAGUGAAUCAUCGAAUCUUUGAACGCACAUUGCGCCCCCUGGUAUUCCGGGGGGCAUGCCUGUCCGAGCGUCAUUGCUGCCCUCAAGCACGGCUUGUGUGUUGGGCCUCCGUCCUCCUCCCGGGGGACGGGCCCGAAAGGCAGCGGCGGCACCGCGUCCGGUCCUCGAGCGUAUGGGGCUUCGUCACCCGCUCUUGUAGGCCCGGCCGGCGCUUGCUGACACAUCAAUCUUUUUUCCAGGUUGACCUCGGAUCAGGUAGGGAUACCCGCUGAACUUAAGCAUAUCAAUAAGCGGAGGA